AGUCAUUCCUGCAGCUGCACUUCCGGUCGGCAUUUUUGUUCUGAGAGGGAGAGACGGAACGAGAGAGAGACACACACAGGGCUCCUUCCCCCGCCCUCCCCCCCUCCCUCCGUCGGUACCGACUCACCGACACCACCAAGCCGCAGGGAGGGACGCCCCCGCCGACAGGAGGAUUGGUUCCCGGGCCCGUGGCGAUGCCCCCCCGGUAGCUCGGCCCCCGGUCGGGUGUUUGUGAGUGUUUUCUAUGUGGAGAAGGAGGAGAGAGGAGGAAGAAGAAGCGAUUGUCUUCUCGUUGGUCUCCCCCCGGCUCUACAUGUUCCCCGCACUGAGGAGACGGAAGAGGAGCCGUAGCUACCCCCCUCCCGGCCCGGAUUAUAGUCUUUCGCCACCGCGGCCUCGGCCUCCCCUUGGAUUCAGACGCCGAUUCGCCCAGGAUGGUGAGGAUGUAAUCCAGGUUGUCAAGCAUACACCCUGUUACUGAACUACAUCCAUAGCCCCCUUAAAAUAGAGGAUUUCUAAAAUGUUUUGGUGAGUUAUGGCUGAUUUGUUGUUUGAUUGGAAUCUUUUAAAAAAGUACUUUGUUGCACUACAUCAUGUAGGCAUGUAUAUAUGAAUACGCAUUUAAAUAGGAUGUUGAUUUUUAAAUAUGUGGACUGUGGAAUAUAUUAGAUGUUUCAGUGAAAUAGAAAGCUUUAGAAAAUUUAGUAAAACCAUCUUAUUUUCAUGACUUCAUUGUGAUUUGUGAGUUACUGUUUUAGAAAGUUUUAAGCAUUAAGAAAGUUCCCAGCAUUACGCUUUUAAAAUAAUGCUUGUUGAUAAAUUACUUUGCUAUCUUACAUGGUUUAAACAUAUCAUUUAACACAGUACACCAAACGCAUUAAAAUUUUGCUUUAUGAAAAGAAAGUUUUUUAGCAUGCAGAAUCAUGAAAUAAGUGAUAUUAAUUAAUUUAUUAAAAUAGUUAUAUAUAACAUUUUACUUGAGAAAUUCAGAAGCUGUAGCAAAUUUUGAAAUGCUAGAUUCCUUUUUGUUGUAGUUAUCAUAUUUAGGUCACUUGUCUUCGCAGUUCUAAAGAAUUACACAGUCUUGGACAGAAGAAAUGUGUAUUUGUUUGUAUAUGACUAUUUUAAAAAUACAUAAUGUUCUAGAUACCUUAAAUCUAACAAUAUCUAAAACCAUAAUAAUAAAAUUUGGGCUGUUUUUACA
rnacentral:lncRNA from 1 species